GUGUAUGUUGGUUUCAGUAGGUUCAGGUUCGUUGUUUGGAGUAGAAUGUAUUUAGAUAGAAUCUAUCGAUCUUGGUAGAAAAGGAGAAGUCUUAUGCGAUUUAUGAGACUGAGUUCAGAAAGUCUUUAGCCAAAAUAAGUAUAAAUACUGAAAAAGAGUUUCCACAGGAUUCACAAUCGUCACAUUUGAUUUUUAUUCAACAAUCAAUAAUUCUUAUACAAGGAUGGACUCAAUCAUCACAUGAUUGAUUUUAGGACACAAUUUCUAACAACUUUCACUUAGACUAAAGCCAAUCGAGACAGUAUCUUAUAUCCAUCUUUCAUUUGAAAUCAUUGAACUCUUUAAUCAUGAGAGCUUUAGUGAAGGGGUUAGCUAGAUUCUCCUUUCCAUCGAUCUUUUGAAGUUUGAUGUCAUCAUGAUUCAUGAUCUCUCACACAGGUGAUAGCGACACAGAAUAUGCUUGGUGCGAUGGUGCGACUUGAGAUCUUUUGCCUGAGCUAUGGCACUGGAGCUGUCACAGUAAAGCAAUACAGGGCUAUCAGUGGAAUGAUAGAUCCAAGAGAAUGAUAGGACUCUCACAGCAUAUGUACAUAGAGG
rnacentral:lncRNA from 1 species